rnacentral:rRNA from 1 species
UACGGAGGGGGCUAGCGUUGUUCGGAAUUACUGGGCGUAAAGCGCACGCAGGCGGCUGUGCACGUGGGGUGUGAAAGGUGGCGGCUUAACUGCCACACGCCACCUCAUACGGCACGGCUCGAGCCCGUGAGAGGUCCACGGAAUUGCCGGUGUAGUGGUGAAAUGCGUAGAGAUCGGACAGGAACACCCAGGGGGAAACCGAGUGGACUGGGCACCGGUGCUGACGCUCAGGUGCGAAAGCGUGGGGAGCGAACCGG